GGAACGCUUGGGAGCGAUGCGCCACAGAAGCGAUCCGGAAACAACGCAACAGAAGCGGCCCCAAUCCAUCCUCACGCAUCCCCACAUCGCCGCGCCCGCUCCACUCUUCCACCCCCGGCGACCCCAUCGCCGCCAGCGAUCCCGCGUUGAUCUCCUCCGCAUCCCCCUUCUGUGGCCAGAUCCAGAUCGAUGGCGAGCCCCAGCGACCAACGCCGGCGCCCUCUGCUCCGGCAACCUCCUCCUCGGCCAUCUCCUCCCCGACUCCCGGUCUCCAUUGCAGCGCUCGCUUCCUCCGCAUCCAACCUCGCGCCGCCCCCCAUCGCCGCACGACGCCUCGAUCGACGGCGCCCCCCAUCGUCCCCGUCGACCGUCGCUGCCCACGGCGCCUCCAAACCGUCGCCGCAUGCCCAGCUGAUCCCCGUCGCCCACGACCACGCAGCCCACCUAUCCUCCGUCGCCACCUCCACGAGUCACCUCACGUCGAUAUCCUCCGCGCCACCAGCGAUCCCGCGUCGAUCUCCUCCACGUCCCCCUUCCGUUGGCCGCCGUCGUCUCCACGCAUGCUCACACUACUCCGCGGUGCUCGUCGGCGCAGCUCAGGACUACACCUCGUUGCCGAUCGAUCCCGCCCUCUUCCACUGGAGCCCCCUCGCUAACCUGAUGCAACGACAAAAAUGCAAGCUGCAGGCCUGUAGGGAAACCACUUAGGUGUUAAUCCUUGCUAAUAUAGCCUGGUGAUAUGCCAUGUUUUGUCUAGGAAGAGUUUACCAGGAUGUUUACUACGCAUACAUGAUUCAGGUAGUAGUGCUCUAUGGACGAACUUGUAUAUGUAGUGCACUAUGGAUGUUUGCCAGCUUAACAUGAUUGUCUGGGAUGAUUUGUAGAAGCGGGCUAUAUUUUACUCAACUUGUUUCUGCGUAGCAUGCUGACAAACUAAGUGUCUGGUGGGUUAGGGCACUACACAACAUUGUGAUGAGUGAGCCAUUGCCACUAUGCUGGUCAUGGAGCAGCAAAGCAGAGACUAUAUGUUAAGGACAUUGGCCCUUGUAGUCCUGGAAAUUAUUCUGGAGGUGGCUGUGACCUGAGCAUACAGUACAGACUGGAUCCUCCCUCUAAACCAUGUUAUUUCAGUUUCUGACUUGCAUGCUCUAUGCUAUUUCAGUUGGUGACUUAAACCUUGGUAGAACCCAGCACAAAUAGGAGGCGGCAUCUUAAUACAAUGAAAAAUGAUGGGAACUCCAUGCCAGAUUUGUCAACACAAUCAAGUCUAUUCUUUCGAAGAGGCACACUGGCCAAUGUAACAAACUUAACUGCUGCCGAGGUUAGAAGAAAGCAUGACAGGGAGAGGUACUUUCAUGAAGGUAAGUAGCAGAAAUUCGGUGCCCAUAUCCUGUUGUUUCCAGUUGACGUCUUCAGAUCCUUCUCAACAUAAUCGAAGGUAAACAAACUAUUUUCCCUGUUUUCCUUGUGUGAAUGAUAUGAAAAAAUAUUUUGCACUUGUUCAGUAAUUUGUGCAAACUGGAAAUACUGAAAAUACUAAGGACGAAGAAUAAUAUUCGAAGCCAAUCCAAAAGCAUUGCAAAUGUCGAAGGACAAAAACUCCCAGUAAUGCUUGCAUGAAAAUAGAUUAAAACAGGCUCUCUGCGAACAAAAUACAUUUCUUAAUAUUGCUCAUUUGAUAACGAGGCUGGAAACCUAAGCAUGUGAACACUAUAAAGAUGUGAAAAUUAUAAAUAUGUGACAUACUUAUUAUUAGUUCUAUAUUAAUGUUUUUGUUACAUCCGAUUUACACUCAAUGAUUAUUUAACAUAAUUUCACUUGGUGUGAUUUUUCUCCGUUGCAACGCAUGGGCACCCUACUAGUAUAAGGGAUUUUGAGUUUUUGUUUGAAUUGUUUGACCACUCGUCUUAUUCAAAAAAUUUGUGUAAAUAUAAAAAAUGAAAAGUUGUGCUUAAAGUACUUUGAAUAAUAAAGUAAAUCACAAAAAAAUAAAUAAUAAUUCCAAAAUUUUUUGAAUAAGAUGAGUGGUCAAACAGUGCAAGCAAAAACUCAAAAUCCCUUAUAUUAUGGGACGAAUGGAGUAAAAUGGUUCUUUUAGAGUACCUCCUGGAUUGUGCACAACCAUGUGGAGUCGUAGGUGAUGGUUGCAGCUCAGUCAAUACCCGACAGCAUAGUGCAGAUGAAAAUUCUUCUUAAAUAUACAGUUGCAGAGGACCUCAAACUUGUUUUAAUGAUGUUCAAUGGUGUCUAGGCAAAAUUGCUACCAGGUAAAGCUUCUUUAUGUAUUGUUGCUCUGACCAUCAUUUUUCUGCCAACAUGAUCAGUUAUGUAUGAUAUACAGUAAAUCUGAUUAGCUUUGUAGACUUGUGCAGAUCUUUCCUAAUUCAUAUAAUUGAUUUUUCCUGAUUGCAUAUCACCCUUAAUGCUAUAUUUCGUUACUUAUGAUUUCAUUUAAUGUUUGGGAGACUUAUGGCUUAUCUGUACUUGCUCUACUCAAAAUCAAAACCUACGUCAAAGUUACCAUGAUAUAGCAAAUUAACUUUUCGUCUAAAGUCUGAACCUGAGCUAUUAGAUUGGCGUACAGUGUUUUGUUAUGUUGUUGUGUGACCAAUGCCAAUAAACUUGACGUGGACACUCUUCUAUGAACUUCAUGAAGUCAGCAUCCCAUGUUGUAGCCUUCGGUGGAUCGGUGGUCCAGAUUGUCAGGUCUGUAGAGGCACAAAUUUAUUUGUAACUGGUUGAUUUCUACUCGGGUUUGUUUCUCGCUUUUGAUAUUUGACAAGUAUACUUGCAACGAUACUAAGAGGAAUGUUUAGUCUGCGUCCCUAUUGUUGGUUGUGGACUUCUGCAAUUAUCUUGUUUUUUGAGUUAUGUUAAAUGCAUAUGUCCGGUAGGGAUUUGAGGAUGAUAUUGGAGUCCAUGUAAACUGCAGAUGGUAGUUUCCCAGUAAAAUUAACUUCUUGCUUUGGUACAUCUGAUGUGGAUUCCUUUUUUUUCUUUGCAUAAGCAUGCUAACAAUCUUUUGCUACAACACUGCAAAUCAAUUUAACAUGUACAAUUCUUUCCAUCAUUGAUGAAGCCACACAGAGAUGAGCCUUGCCAUCCCUUUCUCAUGCGCAUAGCCUUAAUGAACUCCAAGAUACAACACAUCCAUAUUGAUGGAAAUUGGUCAGGGAUCUAAACAAAAUAUUUCUUUGUGGGAACUUGGAAACAUUUGAUUACAUGAUCUCUCAAUUUCUCAUUGCCUUUAGUUAUGAAAAUAUAUCAAUGUCAGUAUUUUUGCAUAUGUUAGUGGUUUAAGAUUUCGUGAAUUGAUUGCAAUCAUUAUAAUAUAUAUCUAUUUGUAGACAGAAAGAGAACUUAGCUGGUCAAUCCCUCCAUUUGACUUUUUUUUAGGGGUAAGGUUCUUGUUUCUAUCCGGUAGUGCUUAAAUGGACAUAACUUCUACUUUUCUUUUUAAUCCUAUGAGAAUUAUUAUGUAGCAUCUUUGGUUAUCAAUGUUGUUCCUGCAAAGCGUUUGGUUGCCUUUUCUUUUCAGUUGGUUUGAUUUGUUCAGAAGGGCUCGAGAGAUGGUAUCAGGCUAUCAGCAUCAGAUGCUACCAUGUUUGUGCAGAAGGCUUGCCAAACACACUCACGACGACAUAGUGAAUGAUAGUAUAAGAGGAAUUGCAUUUGGCGGCAUAUAUGUGACAAGAUGGAAUGUAUUUUUCAACAUUCCAACCUCUAUGUAAGAUCGAAUAUAUGCAAUUAACAUCUAAAUCUAAUAAAUACGACAUCAUUUGCAAUGUGCACCUA